UUUAUCUAAAUAUAUCUCAAUCAAAAGGUGAUAAUUCAGUUGAUGAUACAUUAGAAUCUCCUUUCUAAUUAUCAUCCUACAUUGAUCAAAGACUUCCAGAAUUAUCAACCUAUGAGAUCACAUAGGAUGUUCGCUCCCUUUAUUAGGAGUGACUAAUCUCUUAUUGAUCACUCACAACCUCCAUGCAUACUUCAUCACAUCUAGAAUACCUCACAUA
rnacentral:lncRNA from 1 species